AGUGAACGCUGGCGGUAGGCCUAACACAUGCAAGUCGAACGGCAGCACAGUAAGAGCUUGCUCUUACGGGUGGCGAGUGGCGGACGGGUGAGGAAUACAUCGGAAUCUACUUUUUCGUGGGGGAUAACGUAGGGAAACUUACGCUAAUACCGCAUACGACCUACGGGUGAAAGCAGGGGAUCUUCGGACCUUGCGCGAUUGAAUGAGCCGAUGUCGGAUUAGCUAGUUGGCGGGGUAAAGGCCCACCAAGGCGACGAUCCGUAGCUGGUCUGAGAGGGUGAUCAGCCACACUGGAACUGAGACACGGUCCAGACUCCUACGGGAGGCAGCAGUGGGGAAUAUUGGACGAUGGGCGCAAGCCUGAUCCAGCCAUACCGCGUGGGUGAAGAAGGCCUUCGGGUUGUAAAGCCCUUUUGUUGGGAAAGAAAAGCAGCAGGUUAAUACCCCGCUGUUCUGACGGUACCCAAAGAAUAAGCACCGGCUAACUUCGUG
rnacentral:rRNA from 1 species